AAAAUAUGCAUCAUAGAAAUCCUUUGCUGAGUUAUGCAAAAAUAUUUGUGUCAAAAAUCAGUCCAGAUCUGGAAGGCCGAUGGAUAUUCCUUGAUGAUGAUAUCAUUGUACAAGGUGAUAUUUUUGAAUUGGCAAAUGCCACAAUCUUAGAAGAUAAUGUAGGAGCUUUUUCAUAUGAAUGUGAUGUCAUUUCUAAGCAGUACAAUUCACUUGGU